rnacentral:misc_RNA from 1 species
CACCCACUGCAUCCAUCCUAUUGUAUGCACAGCCAUCAUAACCUACAGAAGCUACACCCUUUUCUGUUUCCAAAUGCUCAAUAGUCUCAACAUCCGUUUGAUAGUUAAUAGAAUGCUUUAUCUGCCAUCUGCCUGAAGACACCUUUUCAAGAGCACUUGCAUGAGCUAACCUUGAAACGCCACUCGCUUCUGACCAGGCAGAUUGCACUGGCUCAUUAACACCUACUAC